UACGGAGGGUGCGAGCGUUGUCCGGAAUCACUGGGCGUAAAGGGCGCGUAGGCGGCCUGAUAAGUAGGGGGUGAAAUCCUGCGGCUUAACCGCAGGGCUGCCUUCUAAACUGUCAGGCUAGAGCACAGUAGAGGCAGGUGGAAUUCCCGGUGUAGCGGUGGAAUGCGUAGAUAUCUGGAGGAAUACCGGUGGCGAAGGCGGCAUCCUGGACCGACAUUGACGCUGAACGGCGAAAGCUAGCGGAGCAAACGGG
rnacentral:rRNA from 1 species